rnacentral:rRNA from 1 species
ACGAACGCUGGCGGCAUGCCUAACACAUGCAAGUCGAACGAGACCUUCGGGUCUAGUGGCGCACGGGUGCGUAACGCGUGGGAACCUGCCCUUAGGUUCGGAAUAACUCCCCGAAAGGGGUGCUAAUACCGGAUAAUGUCUUCGGACCAAAGAUUUAUCGCCUUUGGAUGGGCCCGCGUUGGAUUAGCUAGUUGGUAGGGUAAAAGCCUACCAAGGCGACGAUCCAUAGCUGGUCUGAGAGGAUGAUCAGCCACACUGGGACUGAGACACGGCCCAGGCUCCUACGGGAGGCAGCAGUGGGGAAUAUUGGACAAUGGGCGAAAGCCUGAUCCAGCAAUGCCGCGUGAGUGAUGAAGGCCUUAGGGUUGUAAAGCUCUUUUACCCGGGAUGAUAAUGACAGUACCGGGAGAAUAAGCUCCGGCUAACUCCGUG